GAUGAACGCUGACAGAAUGCUUAACACAUGCAAGUCAACUGUGGCGGACGGGUGAGUAACGCGUAAAGAACUUGCCUCACGGAUAGGGACAACAUUUGGAAACGAAUGCUAAUACCUGAUACUGUUAGAGAGCUUUGCGUCCCAUUAGCUAGUUGGAGAGGUAACGGCUCACCAAGGCGAUGAGGGGUAGCCGGCCUGAGAGGGUUAUCGGCCACAAGGGGACUGAGACACAGACCUUACUCCGACGGGAGGCAGCAGUGGGGAAUAUUGUACAAUGGACCAAAGUCUGAUCCAGCAAUUCUGUGUGCACGAUGAAGUUUUCGGAAUGUAAAGUGCUUUCAGUUGGGAAGCGGUACCAACAGAAGAAGUGACGGCUAAAUACGUGCCAGCCGCCGCGGUAAUUC
rnacentral:rRNA from 1 species